rnacentral:rRNA from 1 species
UACAGGGGUGCAAACGUUGCUCGGAAUCAUUGGGCGUAAAGCGCACGUAGGCGGUUCGUUAUGUCGGAUGUGAAAGCCCUUGGCUUAACCGAGGAAGUGCAUCCGAAACUGGCGAGCUAGAGUACGAAAGAGGAUCGCGGAAUUCCCGGUGUAGAGGUGAAAUUCGUAGAUAUCGGGAGGAACGACCGGUGGCGAAGGCGGCGAUCUGGGUCGAUACUGACGCUGAGGUGCGAAAGCGUGGGGAGCAACAGG